rnacentral:lncRNA from 1 species
UUUAAAAAGUAAAUCACUACAUCAAGGUCGUGAUGUAGCAAAUCAGCAAUCACUUUAAUUUUGAUAAAUAUUCACAAAUUUUCCUGUGUAAAAAUAGGACUGCCAGCACUAAUGUGUGAGAGCUUUUCUUCUAUGUGUUAUAGGACACUUUUUUUAGUCCAAAGAUUGCCAAUACCAUUUCUGAUUGUUUUUGUCCUUAGAAGAGUGAUCUUCUUUCCAUCAUUGUUUAAGGACCAGAAUUUCUCCAUCAUUGGGUUUUAGCUGCCCUUGGCAGCAGAGGCUGACUCGCUUUAUGUGGGGGGAGUCUAGCAGUGGCCAAUUCACUGUGUGUCAAGCACAUCAUUACGGUCAUCUUUUUACUUGCAAGUAUUGGCCUUUCCUACUUUACAUAUAAUGAUGGUGAGGACCAACUUUUAAAUGAGCUAACUUGGGUGAGAGGCCUUGGUAAAGUGCAAAGCACAAUACAAACGCACUUUGAGCCCUGGUUUCCCUGUCUGUGAGGGGAUAGUCAUCCUCUGACAGUCCGGAAACCAUUCAACUCAAUAGCCACUUCCUGAGCACCUGCGAGACGCCAGACAAGACGCAAGGGCUUGAAGACCCCACACUGGAUAGUUCUGAUUCCCAAAUCAAGAAGCUCAUAGUCUGAAACCUUUUCCCUUUCCUUCCUUUUUUCUCAGAAACAUUUUACUUUUCCUUAAAGGAGUAAGAACUUAGGGAUCUGGUUAGUAAGAACCCCUGAAGAGAGGCCCUUUAUCACUCUCUUAAAUUUGAAUGAUUCCAAAAUAAUAUUCCAAAAUAAUAACACCCCUUGACUAGAAAUGAAAGGAUCAUACUGUAUGAAGGGCCUCUCCAAUAAUAAAUGCUAAGCAGCUGUAAAAAUAAGGAGUCAAAUGAUACUUUUCAUAAAUUGUUUUCAAAAUUAGAAAAUAUUAUCCUUUUUCUGGGGUAAAUGGACAUUUUAUUUUCUCUGCUAAGUAAAAUACAACUCUUUCAAAAGUGAACACACUUGAAUUUUACAAUAUACAGAACAAAAAGAACUAAACUAACACAAAAACAACUUACAUAGCAUGUAAAUUUUGAGAGGAUGAAAAGAACUUUGAAUAGAAUACACCCAUGAAAAUUAACUUUAGACGUAAAAUCCCAAGAUGUUUUAACCACAGCUAACCACAUAUAAUAUCAUUGGACCUACAUGAUGGUUAUGUAAAUAUUAAAUGCAAUUCUGUAUUUGCUUUCUUCAUGUGACUUCUUACAUUUAACUAAUACUUCUUUUGUUAAUUUUGUUUCAAUUUCACUCUCAGGGUACCGGGGUGGUCUGAGGGACAGUGCAGUCAGAUUAAUAGCUCUGAGCCCUCCUCAUUCCUGCUCCCCCAUCACCAAAAUAGUCUCUGGCAUUUUACCCUGUUCAUUUCUUUUACAUUAUGUAUCAAUUUGUAAUGACGUAUUUGUUGAUUAUCUUUCUUAAUAAAGAGAAUAAGAAUGAG